rnacentral:rRNA from 1 species
GGCUACUGCUAUUGGGAUUCGACUAAGCCAUGCGAGUCAAGGUGUCUUCGGACGCCGGCGUACGGCUCAGUAACACGUAGGUAACCUAACCUCAGGACUGAGAUAACCCCGGGAAACUGGGGCUAAUAUUAGAUAGAUAAAAGAUACUGGAAUGUUCUUUUAUCCAAAGCUUUUGCGCCUGAGGAUGGGCCUGCGUCCGAUUAGGUUGUUGGUGGGGUAAUGGCCCACCAAGCCUGCGAUCGGUACGGGCAGUGAGAGCUGAAGCCCGGAGUUGGGGACUGAGACAAGGCCCCAGGCCCUACGGGGCGCAGCAGGCGCGAAACCUCUGCAAUGCGGGAAACCGUGACAGGGGGAUCCCAAGUGCUCAUGCAUUGCAUGGGCUGUUCUUUGGUCUAAGUAACCAGAGGAGUAAGGGCUGGGCAAGACCGGUGC